rnacentral:snRNA from 1 species
AUUGGGUAAACAAUUGAAAC